GGAAGAGGCAAAAGCGGUCAAUUUUGUUCCGUGCCGUAGUGUGUUCUCAAAGUCGAGCCAAAGUCUAUAAAAGCUCAAUUAAAGCAAUUCCGUUCCGUGUGUGUGCGUAGAUCUGUUUAGUGAAAGGUCCGUGGCAGCAUUGGUGAAGCCGACACACUACACCCAUCCGUUUCGAUCGCUUUUGACCCCACGCAUCGGCUGCAAAGAUUCCCGGGGUACACUUGGCCGGAGAAGGUUGCGUACCAUCAAAAGCGCACCUUUGGCAGGCGAAGCCAAACC